CAGCACCUCAAGUGGUCAGGAUGAUUAUUGGGCCUAAAGCAUCCGUAGCCGGUUCUACAAGUCUUCCGUUAAAUCCACCUGCUUAACAGAUGGGCCGCGGAGGAUACUAUAAGACUAGGAGGCAGGAGAGGCAAGCGGUACUCAGUGGGUAGGGGUAAAAUCCGUUGAUCCAUUGAAGACCACCAGUGGCGAAGGCGGCUUGCUAGAAUGCGCUCGACGGUGAGGGAUGAAAGCUGGGGGAGCAAACCGGAUUAGAUACCCGAGUAGUCC
rnacentral:rRNA from 1 species